rnacentral:lncRNA from 1 species
GUACGGAACUUCACCCGCGGUAGAGUACGGCCUGAGAAUUUUGUUCCAGCACCGGUGUGAGGAAAACAUCUGAGCCCAUGAAUUGCCAGACCCUGGAUACCUGAGACACAUCCACUUGCUUCUCAGGUUUGGAGUGCAUAAUGAGGAGAAAUAAAAACAGAAAGAUCUCCAGAAAGAAGCCAUGAACUUCAUCAAGACAGUGAUGAGCUACAUGUACACCUGGAGGAGGACCAUGCAGAAUACCAUCCAGCGCCAUGAACACUAGUCAGUCAGUCAGUAAUGGUGGGCUUCUUGGUGUGCUCCAGCUCAAUUUUCUCAUGUUUGAUGAUUAGUUCAGGAUCAAGCUCAGAAGCGCACAGCUGCCAGCAAGCAGUCUACUACUGAACUGCACCAUCUCUCCAGCCUGUGCUUACUCUUGAAUAGCCCCAAAGUAGUCAAUGGUAUGGCAAAAUAAACCUCCAUUUCAUUUA